CUGAAAUAAUGCACACUCUUCUCUCCUUCCCGGAUAAUUUAUUUUUUUAUGGUGAAUAUUCAACUUCUGUGAGGUUUUUUGUUGUUUUUUGUUUGUUUUUUUUUUUCUCCGCGCCUCCCGGCAUGUCAGCGAAUGUCCCCUGGCAGCGGCCCGGGGGGGGAUGUGUGCCUGGCUUUCGCCCUAAGCAACCAGGCGGACUUAUCCCUCCCUCAAAUCUCCUUAGGUUUUGCUCGUCAAAAUCCGAGCUAUCCGUGAUGAAAAAAUGUGGCUCCUCCUUGAGUUGCCCCAACCAUCAGGUGAAACCAAAGCAAGCUGUGGGAUGUGUCCAUCCCAACAGCUGGCGAUUUUUUCCUCCGUUUCUUUCUUAUUACCCCCCCGCUCCUCAACCCUCUUAUCUCAGCUGUGUACAAACUGAUAUGGUACUUAGCAGGAAAGUGACUGGAAAUUAAAAUAACUUCGUUCACCAGAGGUUAUCAGCUGGAUAUCUGUCAUCAUCAGUUUGUACAGAAAGUCAUCUGCGGCAAAGGGCUGGACUAGAGCAGAGCCGGGCUCUCGGCAGCCGGCAGGCAUGAGCCCUCCUGACAGAAACCGAGCCCAAACCUGCUGAUGCGCGGUGCCGUCGCUCCUGGGAUCUAGGUCUAAGGCUACUCAUUCAGCUGAAAUUUGUCCUUGUUCAUGACGACUUGAAGAACCAGUGCCACAGACCUCCAUGGAAACACCUCUUGCAGAAGUAAACCUUGCCAGUGGAUCACUUCUGCGGUUACCAGCAAGAAUUGCAACUCGGCCCUUCAAGUCGUGGUUUCAGCUUCACUAAACUGGCUUUAAGCAGAUUCUUAUACAAACUUCAGAGGAAUAUUUGGUCAGCUAACACAGAGUUUUCUGCUAUCACAGCUUGGAGGCUGUUGGUCCCAAACAAACCUAAUCAGUGCUAACUCAGCAACUACCAUAGCUCCUGUAAUGAACUCAACAAGUUCAGUAAAGGUAAUGUUGGUGCUCUCAUUUAUUUAUGUCAGGCUCAGUCAGGUUUAACAGCACCUCUUUAUGGCACAGAUGCCAUGCCAUUGGACACUGAAGAUGGCAGAUCCAUCUCCAUGGCCAGCACACCCUUAUAAACUUACGUUUUCUUAAUUCUGGGGGCCAGUGACCCCAGCAGAAAGGACAACCACAAGCACUGACAUCAGUGGCAUCUCAUGGCGUCACGGAUAAAUCCAACAGAGGUGGGAUUGUCAAAGCUUAGGAGUUUUGGGAGACGAAAGCUCAGCAGUGCUUAGCUGGCUGGAGGGCUUUUCCCUGCCUAUUUUCAGCUUUCCCCCAAAUGCCCCAUAGGUGACACCCUAUGCAGCGCCACUCCCCACAGACCACCAGCUGGGCUGUAGGGACACAGCUUUACAUGCCACUACUUAAAUCAAAGCGUUUCAGCUUCUACAUUAAGCCAAACUCUUUCCCUCCAAAAUUUUUUGUAUCAGUCAAAACAUUUAAUUUUGAAGUAUUUAGCCCGUUAAAGAAAAUCACCUUGGAAUCAAAUAUGCAACAAGGUUCAUCUCGAGAGGGUGGUAAAAGUGCUUUGUGUUUUUUUUUCACUUCUCUCAGUUUGGUAACAGGCUCACAUCUGGAGUGCUAGGAAAGAUCUGUCACUCCUGGACCAGAAGCAAAAAACUUCAGCACCUCAUCCUUUCUCAGCCACCAGAAACUAUAGCAAAAUCUCUUGUUUUCUCUGUGGUCAGCAGGCACAGAGAAAGCAACAACUCCUGAACUGGUUGAAACUGCUGCCUGUGCUCUGGACUGAAGAUUUUAAGCCUUUUUUAUUUUAAAGGUAGGGGCUUACAUGAAUAUGCCCCAAGCUAUUUCACACAUGGAAUUGGAGCGGGUUGUAAUUCAGCCUGAAACCAGAAUUUAUGCUACACUCUUAUUUUAGUUCCUACUGCCUAGGAGAAUAGUUACUACCCAAAUCACAAACUGCGUCUGUGACCUGUAAUAAGUUUUCAAAUUAAUUUGGUUUUGGUUUUCAUAACUUCAACAGAAUUGUUGAAUGACAUUUCCUUUAGCAGGAGUUUUCCAAACAAAUUUACUUCAUUUCUGCUUGCAAGAAGUGGAAAAAAAUGUAUUUUUCCUUGUGCCUGCUUGGAACUACAUGUACCUCUGAGGUCCAGAAGGUGACAUAUCUUUCACAAGUGAUUCCUCUAAUAAGCAUAGAGAGGAAAACCUAAUUGUUGUGAGCUGUAGCUACCAGAAGAUUAAAAAUAUUCUGUACUGAAAUAAGUUAACCAUUGCUCAGCAUUUGGACUUGUGGAGCAUACAACUGACUAGGUCGAGCCUAUGGAAAGAACUGGAAAGCAGACUUUUCAACUGGAAAAGGAGACCCCCUCAAUUUAAUGCUGUUGGACCAAAUGAACAGGAACAAACCUGGAAGACCUUGGCUGAAUGCUAAAUGUACAAAGCUUCCGGAGAAAUGCAUCAGGAGCAUUUGAAUGCAUGUGAAGGUGUUUCAUGUUCAAACAGAAACAAAUCCCUGAGGUGCCUGAACACAAGACAUCACCAAGGCUUUGCACAUGUCACUCACUCACAGAGAAGCUCAUCUAAGCACAGUAAUGACCAAAGCCAAAAUAAAAAUAAAUUGCUGAAUUAGCCAAAACAAAAGAAAGUUGCUGAGUUAUUCUGUGAAUUUUCAAGUUGUAGCUGCACUGCAACUGUUUGAACUCUUUUCAGAUGUUUUUCCUUAAACUUUCAAUGCUUUUUAAGCAUUGUAUAAAAUAUUUCCUUUCUUGAUUAUGGAAGAAACUUUAUUUAAUAAAACCUGGUUU